AUUUAUUUUACCUAUUCUUUUACAAUUUGAAGGAAAGCAUAUAGGGGUUGCUCAUAUGAUGCACCAAAUUAAAGUUGAAGCAUAUUCAAUCACAAAAACCAAGAGUCCUCCAUUACAAUAUGACAAGCUAUUCCCUUCUUUUUGCUAUGGAACCAUUUCAGACUAAAAAUAGUGGACUGGGAGGCAUCUGAUUAUUGAAUUCCAUUGCAAGGGAAAGCAAAGAAUAAAGCACAUAUUCUCUGCUUUCUCUCUUUCUUUGUUUUCCCCAAUUUUGCAAGACUUUUCAAGUUCCAAGUCUCCAAGCAUUCCUUUAAUUUUUUUUAUAAGUUUAACUUCACCUUGCCCUUUUUCACAAGAUCUUUCCUUCAAAUUGAAGAACAUGUAAAUCUUUGCUUAUAUGCUCUUGAAAAUGAAAAUGUACAGGGGGAUAAUAUCUCAUGCUCAAUUUCAUUUCUCCAUGCAUGCGAUAUAAAUUUGUCAAAAGCAAAGUUUUGGUGGCUACAAGAAACCAAAGAAAUUAGGUCAACUUGGAUAGUGUUACAGAGACAUA
rnacentral:misc_RNA from 1 species